rnacentral:rRNA from 1 species
GGUAGUCCACGCCGUAAACGAUGUCGACUUGGAGGUUGUGCCCUUGAGGCGUGGCUUCCGGAGCUAACGCGUUAAGUCGACCGCCUGGGGAGUACGGCCGCAAGGUUAAAACUCAAAUGAAUUGACGGGGGCCCGCACAAGCGGUGGAGCAUGUGGUUUAAUUCGAUGCAACGCGAAGAACCUUACCUACUCUUGACAUCCAGAGAACUUAGCAGAGAUGCUUUGGUGCCUUCGGGAACUCUGAGACAGGUGCUGCAUGGCUGUCGUCAGCUCGUGUUGUGAAAUGUUGGGUUAAGUCCCGCAACGAGCGCAACCCUUAUCCUUUGUUGCCAGCGGUUCGGCCGGGAACUCAAAGGAGACUGCCAGUGAUAAACUGGAGGAAGGUGGGGAUGACGUCAAGUCAUCAUGGCCCUUACGAGUAGGGCUACACACGUGCUACAAUGGCGCAUACAAAGAGAAGCGACCUCGCGAGAGCAAGCGGACCUCAUAAAGUGCGUCGUAGUCCGGAUUGGAGUCUGCAACUCGACUCCAUGAAGUCGGAAUCGCUAGUAAUCGUAGAUCAGAAUGCUACGGUGAAUACGUUCCCGGGCCUUGUACACACCGCCCGUCACACCAUGGGAGUGGGUUGCACCAGAAGUAGCUAGUCUAACCUUCGGGAGGACGGUUACCACGGUGUGAUUCAUGACUGGGGUGAAGUCGUAACAAGGUAACC